rnacentral:rRNA from 1 species
CGGUACGCUAGCAGAUACCUUCGGGAGGACGUCUGUGGAACGAGUGGCGGACGGGUGAGUAACACGUGGGCAACCUGCCUGUAAGACUGGGAUAACUCCGGGAAACCGGGGCUAAUACCGGAUAACUCAUCGGAUCGCAUGAUCCGAGGUUAAAAGAUGGCUUCUUGCUAUCACUUACAGAUGGGCCCGCGGCGCAUUAGCUAGUUGGUGAGGUAACGGCUCACCAAGGCCACGAUGCGUAGCCGACCUGAGAGGGUGAUCGGCCACACUGGGACUGAGACACGGCCCAGACUCCUACGGGAGGCAGCAGUAGGGAAUCAUCCGCAAUGGACGAAAGUCUGACGGUGCAACGCCGCGUGAGUGAGGAAGGCCUUCGGGUCGUAAAACUCUGUUGUUAGGGAAGAACAAGUUCCGUUCGAAUAGGGCGGAGCCUUGACGGUACCUAACCAGAAAGCCACGGCUAACUACGUGCCAGCAGCCGCGGUAAUACGUAGGUGGCAAGCGUUGUCCGGAAUUAUUGGGCGUAAAGCGCGCGCAGGCGGUUCCUUAAGUCUGAUGUGAAAGCCCACGGCUCAACCGUGGAGGGUCAUUGGAAACUGGGGAACUUGAAGACAGAAGAGGAGAGCGGAAUUCCACGUGUAGCGGUGAAAUGCGUAGAUAUGUGGAGGAACACCAGUGGCGAAGGCGGCUCUCUGGUCUGUGCUUGACGCUGAGGCGCGAAAGCGUGGGGAGCGAACAGGAUUAGAUACCCUGGUAGUCCACGCCGUAAACGAUGAGUGCUAGGUGUUAGGGGUUUCCACCCUUAGUGCUGCAGUUAACGCAAUAAGCACUCCGCCUGGGGAGUACGGCCGCAAGGCUGAAACUCAAAGGAAUUGAC